GCAGGCUUAACACAUGCAAGUCGAGGGGCAGCGGGGAGGAAGCUUGCUUUCUCCGCCGGCGACCGGCGCACGGGUGAGUAACACGUAUGCAACCUGCCCCUGUCAGGGGGACAACCCGCCGAAAGGCGGGCUAAACCCGCGUACAUGCCACCGGGGCAUCCCGGAGGCAGGAAAGGCUUCGGCCGGACAGGGAUGGGCAUGCGGCGCAUUAGGCAGUAGGCGGGGUAACGGCCCACCUAACCGACGAUGCGUAGGGGUUCUGAGAGGAAGGUCCCCCACACUGGUACUGAGACACGGACCAGACUCCUACGGGAGGCAGCAGUGAGGAAUAUUGGUCAAUGGUCGGGAGACUGAACCAGCCAAGCCGCGUGAGGGAGGAAGGUACAGAGUAUCGUAAACCUCUUUUGUCAGGGAACAAAGGCGGGGACGUGUCCCCGGAUGAGUGUACCUGAAGAAAAAGCAUCGGCUAACUCCGUGCCAGCAGCCGCGGUAAUACGGAGGAUGCGAGCGUUAUCCGGAUUUAUUGGGUUUAAAGGGUGCGCAGGCGGUCUGUUAAGUCAGCGGUCAAAGCCCGGGGCUCAACCCCGGCCCGCCGUUGAAACUGGCAGUCUCGAGUUGGAGAGAAGUAUGCGGAAUGCGCGGUGUAGCGGUGAAAUGCAUAGAUAUCGCGCAGAACUCCGAUUGCGAAGGCAGCAUGCCGGCUCCACACUGACGCUGAGGCACGAAAGCGUGGGUAUCGAACAGGAUUAGAUACCCUGGUAGUCCACGCAGUAAACGAUGAAUGCUGGCUGUCCGGGGGGAUUGACCCCUGGGUGGCGAAGCGAAAGCGAUAAGCAUUCCACCUGGGGAGUACGCCGGCAACGGUGAAACUCAAAGGAAUUGACGGGGGCCCGCACAAGCGGAGGAACAUGUGGUUUAAUUCGAUGAUACGCGAGGAACCUUACCCGGGCUCAAACGGGGAGUGACUCAGGCAGAGACGCCUGUUUCCCACGGGACACUCCCCGAGGUGCUGCAUGGUUGUCGUCAGCUCGUGCCGUGAGGUGUCGGCUUAAGUGCCAUAACGAGCGCAACCCCCGCGUGCAGUUGCUAACAGAUAACACUGAGGACUCUGCACGGACUGCCGGCGCAAGCCGCGAGGAAGGCGGGGAUGACGUCAAAUCAGCACGGCCCUUACGUCCGGGGCGACACACGUGUUACAAUGGGUGGUACAGCGGGAAGCCAGGCGGCGACGCCGAGCGGAACCCGAAAUCCACUCUCAGUUCGGAUCGGAGUCUGCAACCCGACUCCGUGAAGCUGGAUUCGCUAGUAAUCGCGCAUCAGCCAUGGCGCGGUGAAUACGCUCCCGGGCC
rnacentral:rRNA from 1 species